rnacentral:tRNA from 1 species
GCUCCCUUAGCAUAGUGGCUAUUGCGUCGGUCUUGUAAACCGAAGGUCCCGGGUUCGACUCCCGGAGGGGGCU